rnacentral:rRNA from 1 species
CCUACGGGAGGCAGCAGUGAGGAAUAUUGGUCAAUGGGCGCGAGCCUGAACCAGCCAAGUCGCGUGAGGGAAGACGGUCCUAUGGAUUGUAAACCUCUUUUGUCGGGGAGCAAAAGACGCCACGCGUGGCCUUCCGUGUGUACCCUAAGAACAAGCAUCGGCUAACUCCGUGCCAGCAGACGCGGUAAUACGGGGGAUGCGAGCGUUAUCCGGAUUUAUUGGGUUUAAAGGGUGCGCAGGCGGAAGAUAAAGUCUGCGGUAAAAUUAGGGGGCUCAACCUCGUCGAGCCGUUGAAACUGGUUUUCUUGAGUGAGCGAGAGGUAUGCGGAAUGCGUGGUGUAGCGGUGAAAUGCAUAGAUAUCACGCAGAACUCCGAUUGCGAAGGCAGCAUACCGGCGCUCAACUGACGCUCAUGCACGAAAGUGUGGGUAUCGAACAGGAUUAGAUACCCCAGUAGUC